rnacentral:rRNA from 1 species
UACGGAGGGGGCUAGCGUUGUUCGGAAUUACUGGGCGUAAAGCGCACGUAGGCGGCUUUGUAAGUUAGAGGUGAAAGCCCGGGGCUCAACUCCGGAAUUGCCUUUAAGACUGCAUCGCUAGAAUUGUGGAGAGGUAAGUGGAAUUCCGAGUGUAGAGGUGAAAUUCGUAGAUAUUCGGAAGAACACCAGUGGCGAAGGCGACUUACUGGACACAUAUUGACGCUGAGGUGCGAAAGCGUGGGGAGCAACAGGG